GCCAGCAUGGCAUAGUGGUUUGAGUCUGGGACUAUGGCUCUGGAGACCAGGGUUCGAUUCCCAGCUUGGCC